rnacentral:misc_RNA from 1 species
AGGAACGGCUGGUCUUAAAUAUAUUAGCUGACCCAUGUUGUAGGUUUGGUUCUACUCAGCGUGAUAAUUAUCAUGACCGUUGAGGACAUCUGUCGCAAGACGGAUGGCCAGAUGUGCCUUGGAUUGCUUCUAAUCUUCCCUUUGUGGAAAACUUUUCAACCUUUGACCUCGAAUCAGGCGGGACUACCCGCUGAACUUAA